AGUGAACGCUGGCGGUAGGCCUAACACUUGCAAGUCGAACGGCAGCACAGUAAGAGCUUGCUCUUACGGGUGGCGAGUGGCGGACGGGUGAGGAAUACAUCGGAAUCUACUUUUUCGUGGGGGAUAACGUAGGGAAACUUACGCUAAUACCGCAUACGACCUACGGGUGAAAGCAGGGGAUCUUCGGACCUUGCGCGAUUGAAUGAGCCGAUGUCGGAUUAGCUAGUUGGCGGGGUAAAGGCCCACCAAGGCGACGAUCCGUAGCUGGUCUGAGAGGAUGAUCAGCCACACUGGAACUGAGACACGGUCCAGACUCCUAAGGGAGGCAGCAGUGGGGAAUAUUGGACAAUGGGCGCAAGCCUGAUCCAGCCAUACCGCGUGGGUGAAGAAGGCCUUCGGGUUGUAAAGCCCUUUUGUUGGGAAAGAAAAGCAGCAGGUUAAUACCCCGCUGUUCUGACGGUACCCAAAGAAUAAGCACCGGCUAACUUCGUG
rnacentral:rRNA from 1 species